AUUGAACGCUGGCGGCAGGCCUAACACAUGCAAGUCGAACGGUAACAGGAAGAAGCUUGCUUCUUUGCUGACGAGUGGCGGACGGGUGAGUAAUGUCUGGGAAACUGCCUGAUGGAGGGGGAUAACUACUGGAAACGGUAGCUAAUACCGCAUAACGUCGCAAGACCAAAGAGGGGGACCUUCGGGCCUCUUGCCAUCGGAUGUGCCCAGAUGGGAUUAGCUAGUAGGUGGGGUAACGGCUCACCUAGGCGACGAUCCCUAGCUGGUCUGAGAGGAUGACCAGCCACACUGGAACUGAGACACGGUCCAGACUCCUACGGGAGGCAGCAGUGGGGAAUAUUGCACAAUGGGCGCAAGCCUGAUGCAGCCAUGCCGCGUGUAUGAAGAAGUCCUUCGGGUUGUAAAGUACUUUCAGCGGGGAGGAAGGGAGUAAAGUUAAUACCUUUGCUCAUUGACGUUACCCGCAGAAGAAGCACCGGCUAACUCCGUG
rnacentral:rRNA from 1 species